rnacentral:rRNA from 1 species
GAAACUGAGGAUAAUGUUUCAUAAGUUGAUAAGGCUUGGAAAAGUUUUUCAACGAAAUGGGUAAGCUAAACGGAUCUUACUUGCCAUAGGAUAGGAUUGUGGUCGAUUAUGGUAUUGGUGAGGUAAUGGCUCACCAAGCCGAUAAUCGAUAGGGCCGUGAAGCGGGAGCCCCGAAUGGGUACUGAGACAACGACCCAGGCCUUACGAGGCGCAGCAGGCGCGAAACCUCCGCAAUACACGAAAGUGUGACGGGGUUACCCAAAGUGUCCAAUUUUGGACUGUGGUAGGUGAGUAAUAUUCCCUGCCAAAAGGAAGGGCAAGGCUGGUGC